AGAGUUUGAUCAUGGCUCAGAACGAACGCUGGCGGCGUGGAUAAGACAUGCAAGUCGGACGAGAUUUUUCGUUGUAGCAAUACGAUGGAAAGUCUAGUGGCGAACGGGUGCUUAACACGUGGGCAACCUGCCAAGAAGUGGGGGAUAGCUCGCCGAAAGGCGAAUUAAUACCGCAUGUGAUUAGAGGAGACAUCUUUUCAAAAUUAAAGUCGGGGCAACCUGACGCUUCUUGUGGGGCCCGCGGCCUAUCAGCUAGUUGGUGAGGUAACGGCUCACCAAGGCUUUGACGGGUAGCUGGUCUGAGAGGACGACCAGCCACACUGGGACUGAGACACGGCCCAGACACCUACGGGUGGCAGCAGUCGAGAAUUUUUGACAAUGGGGGAAACCCUGAUCGAGCGACGCCGCGUGGAGGAUGAAGGUCUUCGGAUUGUAAACUCCUGUCAUUGGGGAACAAUGCACAGAUAUUAACUGUAUUUGUGUUGAUAGUACCCGAAGAGGAAGAGACGGCUAACUCUGUGCCAGCAGCCGCGGUAAUACAGAGGUCUCAAGCGUUGUUCGGAUUCAUUGGGCGUAAAGGGUGCGUAGGCGGCGCGGUAAGUCGGGUGUGAAAUCUCGGGGCUUAACUCCGAAACUGCAUUCGAUACUGCCGUGCUUGAGGACUGGAGAGGAGACUGGAAUUUACGGUGUAGCGGUGAAAUGCGUAGAUAUCGUAAGGAAGACCAGUGGCGAAGGCGGGUCUCUGGACAGUUCCUGACGCUGAGGCACGAAGGUCAGGGGAGCAAACGGGAUUAGAUACCCCGGUAGUCCUGACAGUAAACGGUGCACGUUUGGUGUGGGAGGAUUCGACCCCUUCUGCGCCGGAGCUAACGCGUUAAACGUGCCGCCUGGGGAGUACGGUCGCAAGAUUAAAACUCAAAGAAAUUGACGGGGGCCGCACAGGCGGUGGAGUAUGUGGCUCAAUUCGAUGCAACGCGAAGAA
rnacentral:rRNA from 1 species